CAUGCAAGUCAACGGCUUUCUAUGGAAGCUGCUUCCACUGAAAAGAUAGUGGCGAACGGGUGAGUAACAACGUGGGUAACCUGCCCAUAAGAGGGGGAUAACAUCCGGAAACGGGUGCUAAUACGCAUAGUUUUCUUGAUCGCAUGAUCGGGAAAGGAAAGACGGCCUUUGUGCUGUCGCUUAUGGAUGGACCCGCGGCGUAUUAGUUAGUUGGUGAGGUAACGGCUCACCAAGACGAUGAUACGUAGCCGACCUGAGAGGGUGAUCGGCCACAUUGGGACUGAGACACGGCCCAAACUCCUACGGGAGGCAGCAGUAGGGAAUCUUCCGCAAUGGACGAAAGUCUGACGGAGCAACGCCGCGUGAGUGAAAGAAGGUUUUCGGAUCGUAAAACUCUGUUGUCAGAGAAGAACAAGUUGGAGAGUAACUGCUCCAGCCUUGACGGUAUCUGACCAGAAAGCCACGGCUAACUACGUGCCAGCCGCGGC
rnacentral:rRNA from 1 species